UACGUGGGGUGCGAGCGUUGUUCGGAAUUACUGGGCGUAAAGCGCGUGUAGGCGGCCUAUUAUGUCAGGUGUGAAAGCCCCCGGCCUAACCGAGGAAGUGCGCCUGAAACUGCUAGGCUUGAGUACGAGAGAGGGGGACGGAAUUCCCAGUGUAGCGGUGAAAUUCGUAGAUAUUGGGAGGAACACCGGCGGCGAAAGCGGUUCCCUGGAUCGAUACUGACGCUAAGGCGCGAAAGCGUGGGGAGCAAACAGG
rnacentral:rRNA from 1 species